rnacentral:rRNA from 1 species
AUUGAACGCUGGCGGCAGGCCUAACACAUGCAAGUCGAGCGGAUGAAGAGAGCUUGCUCUCUGAUUUAGCGGCGGACGGGUGAGUAAUGCCUAGGAAUCUGCCUGGUAGUGGGGGAUAACGUUCCGAAAGGAACGCUAAUACCGCGUACGUCCUACGGGAGAAAGCAGGGGACCUUCGGGCCUUGCGCUAUCAGAUGAGCCUAGGUCGGAUUAGCUAGUUGGUGAGGUAAUGGCUCACCAAGGCGAUGAUCCGUAACUGGUCUGAGAGGAUGAUCAGUCACACUGGAACUGAGACACGGUCCAGACUCCUACGGGGGGCAGCAGUGGGGAAUAUUGGACAAUGGGCGAAAGCCUGAUCCAGCCAUGCCGCGUGUGUGAAGAAGGUCUUCGGAUUGUAAAGCACUUUAAGUUGGGAGGAAGGGCAGUAAGUUAAUACCUUGCUGUUUUGACGUUACCGACAGAAUAAGCACCGGCUAACUUCGUGCCAGCAGCCGCCGCUGUAA